GGAAAUGGGAAUGAGCCGGGAAGCAGCACAGACGGCGGGGAGAUCCUGGCAGAGCCAUAUUCUCCUCGCACUGGGAUGGUCUGCUAGGUGGCUGGGCUGCGAGUCUUGGAGAGCAGCUGCUGAGAAGGGAGCUUCUAAACGCGAUGGUGUUGCCUGAUUUUCUCCCCUGUCUUUUCUCACCACAGCGAUAGGACCCUGCUGCUUCCUCAGACGUGACUCCUCUCGUGUGGAAGGAGAGAGGGGCAAAGGAACAGGGAUGGAGAAGGGCGAGCUGGACUCAAUCUCCGAGAGGGAGGAGGAGGCCGACGUAGCAGGGGCGGACGAGCGGGCAAUCCUGCGCUACGAGGAACACAUCACCACGCUGCUCGUCACCAUCGCCCAGCUCCACAGCAAGGCCGAGCGGCUACAGCAGAGGAGAACCAGAGAGGAAGAUGAGUAUUCAGACCAGUGCUCCGAAUACACAGCAAGCCUUCCCAGGUGUGUGCAGAGGCCCCGGAGCCUGGCCAUCCGUCCGUUCCCCAUGGGCUGCAUGGAGGAAGGAGGCAGCUCCGACGUGUUCCUAGAUCUGCAGCAGGCUGUGGCCUCUCUGGAGAACGCCGUGUUCUCCCGGCGGAGCCAUGCUCGGCUGCUUGGUAGCGCUGGUGGGGAGACGGGCACGGGUGGCCCCAGCGCGGCGGGGGAGGAGUGGGCCCAGAUAGCCAAGACCCUGGAAGAGCUAGAACAAGGCCUGGGGGGUCUUGCGGGACUCCCGGAGGACAACGGGAGCUGUCCCUGGAAGGCAGCACCCAGGGCGCCGGGGGAGAAGACGAGCGAGGCCAGCCCAGGGCUCUCAGCAGAGGACAUGAGCUGGAUCAAGAAUGAAAUAACCACAUACGCAGAGAGGAACGCAGCUCUCCGGGUGGCGCUAGGGAGCAAGGAGGAGGAGCUAAGCAGGUCCAAGGUCACCCUGCAAGCAUUCCAGGAGGAACGGGAGAAGCUCCAGAGAAAGGUCAAGGAGCUGCAGGACUCGCUGCUCAGAAUGGAGAUGCCGUCCCAACCCUGCAGCCCCUCAGCAUCCGUCAGUGACACUGUCAGCACCAGGGGGUCCGUCAGCCCUGGCGGGGAAGGGGAGCCCUGGCCAUUCCAGGUGAGUGCAGCGCCAGGGGCUGGCCCAGGUCUCAGU
rnacentral:lncRNA from 1 species